GAGUUUGAUCCUGGCUCAAGAUGAACGCUAGCGACAGGCCUAACACAUGAAAGUCGAGGGGCAACAUGGUAUCAGCUUGCUGAUACUGAUGGCGACCGGCGCACGGGUGAGUAACGCGUAUGUAAUCUACCUGUAACAGAGGGAUAACCCGGAGAAAUCCGGACUAAUACCUCAUAGCACAUAUUAUUCGCAUGAAUUUUAUGUUAAAGAGACUCGGUUACAGAUGAACAUGCGUU
rnacentral:rRNA from 1 species